rnacentral:misc_RNA from 1 species
AAGUCGUAACAAGGUUUCCGUAGGUGAACCUGCGGAAGGAUCAUUAACGAGUUUUGAAAGGGGUUGUAGCUGGCUUCAAACGAGGCAUGUGCACACCCUGCUCAUCCACUCUCAACCUCUGUGCACUUACUGUAGGUCGGUCGAUGGCUCAGUGGCAACACUGGGUUUGAAGCCUUCCUAUGUUUUACUACAAACGCUUCAGUUAUAGAAUGUUACUCUGCGUAUAACGCAUCUAUAUACAACUUUCAGCAACGGAUCUCUUGGCUCUC